ACGAACGCUGGCGGCAUGCCUAACACAUGCAAGUCGCACGAGACCUUCGGGUCUAGUGGCGCACGGGUGCGUAACGCGUGGGAACCUGCCCUUAGGUUCGGAAUAACUCCCCGAAAGGGGUGCUAAUACCGGAUAAUGUCUUCGGACCAAAGAUUUAUCGCCUUUGGAUGGGCCCGCGUUGGAUUAGCUAGUUGGUAGGGUAAAAGCCUACCAAGGCGACGAUCCAUAGCUGGUCUGAGAGGAUGAUCAGCCACACUGGGACUGAGACACGGCCCAGACUCCUACGGGAGGCAGCAGUGGGGAAUAUUGGACAAUGGGCGAAGGCCUGAUCCAGCAAUGCCGCGUGAGUGAUGAAGGCCUUAGGGUUGUAAAGCUCUUUUACCCGGGAUGAUAAUGACAGUACCGGGAGAAUAAGCUCCGGCUAACUCCGUG
rnacentral:rRNA from 1 species